rnacentral:lncRNA from 1 species
CGCUCCCAUUUGGGUUGUUGGGGGCUAUGUGAAGCUCGGGGUGCCUAGUGACUGUCAUCUUCUAAAAGAUAAAUGUGGCUACUGUUGGCCUAGAAGUUCAACUUUAUAAACAUAGACAUGAUGAGGAAAAAUUCAGGCACCUGUAAACUCUAACUUGAUCAUAGGGGAUGAAUCAGUUCCCUGAGGCGGAAAGGGGAAUUGUAAUGCUACAUAGCUUAAUAUUCUAAUCAAAAAGUUCUUAAGAAGUGCAUGAAACAUGGACACAAGGCUUGCUAUGGAGUGUUGCUCAAGCCAUGAGCUGCCUUGGGGUGUAUGGUCUGACACCCAUUUCCUUUUGCUCACAGCACCCACAUUUUCCUUUGAGGAUCCUAUCUAUCCCGUGUAGUAGGGACACGAACUGGAUGACGUUAAUCUUAAACUUGGUGUAAGGGGAUCACAGCAUCAUCCCGUCCCCCAAAGAUGUGCUGUAACACAGUCCCACAUUAUAAUCAGUGGGAGGCUUGUCCUGGCCACCGUCAACAGUAUGAUUUGGGUUGAUUCAUUAGAAUACUGUAGCUCAGGACGUCGGGGGUUCUCGGAAGCAGGGUGAAU